rnacentral:rRNA from 1 species
CCUACGGGAGGCAGCAGUGAGGAAUAUUGGUCAAUGGACGCAAGUCUGAACCAGCCAUGCCGCGUGCAGGACGACGGCUCUAUGAGUUGUAAACUGCUUUUGUACGAGGGUAAACUCAGAUACGUGUAUCUGUCUGAAAGUAUCGUACGAAUAAGGAUCGGCUAACUCCGUGCCAGCAGCCGCGGUAAUACGGAGGAUUCUAGCGUUAUCCGGAUUUAUUGGGUUUAAAGGGUGCGUAGGCGGUCGGAUAAUUUAGUUGUGAAAUCCCGGGGCUCAACUUGGGAAGUGCCUCUGAAACUGUUCGGCUAGAGAGGAUGAGAGGUAGGCGGAAUGUGUGGUGUAGCGGUGAAAUGCUUAGAUAUUAGACAGAACUCCGAUUGCGAAGGCAGCUUACCG